UAUAGAAAGUAAUUUCGAUGAAUUGACUUCAUCUUUUGAUUUCGAAUUCAAAAAUCAAACUUUUAUUUAUAUUUUGAGAAGUUCUUAGAAGAUAAUUAAAUACCACCGCAAAAAUAUAUUGUCAUCAUAAUUUAUUAUGUAAAAACACUUAAUUUAGUUCUGGCCGUAUUACGUUUUGUGUAAAAAUAUUUUAAUCUAUGAAAUUGGUAAACAAUGUCAACUACCUAGUUCCGUUUUUCAAAUCAUCGUUUUAAAACUAACUAAUUCGAAGGGAACAGGAAAUAAAAUUAAAAUAAUGAAAAUUAAAGAUGUGGUGUCGUGGGACACCAGGUAGGAACGAAGUUCCUUCGGCUAAUGUAGAAUCGACACAAUUUGCAAAAAAAGAAAUGGUGCUCAAUUUUAUUUUGGUCGCGCAGCAAAAUCCCUAUCCCCUCCAAGCCUGCCGUCAGGAACUUCGUUCCAAUAAUGAAAAUAAAGCUCCCCGAUUUUAUUCCAAUAAAUGUAAAAAUGCACUAUUUUGCCUUGAGUAGAAUCUUUAGUUGAAUCAAGAAAUGAAGGUUGAAACAUUAAAAAGUAAAGCAUUAAAAAAUUCCCACUAGCAUCUUUGACAUGUAAAAAGUGCAAUACAAAAUAGUCCUUAAACUCAUAGUGAUA